UCUUCUCACAAGGCAGCGUGCACGGGAUAUUGUUGUGUCAAGCGAAGGGCACCCUCGAGACAAGAAAAAGUCAAAGGCCAAGAAAGCGAUGAAAGCCUAUCAAAGGCCUCGUAUGGUCUCGUACCGACGACAGAUCUUUCAAAUGUCUGACCUAUCAACAUUUGNUCGUAUGGUCUCGUACCGACGACAGAUCUUUCAAAUGUCUGACCUAUCAACAUUUGAUGGUGGUAUCUAGGACUACCAUGGUUACAACGGGUAACGGGAAAUUAGGGUUCGAUUCCGGA
rnacentral:ncRNA from 2 species